rnacentral:misc_RNA from 1 species
GCAAACUUGGUCAUUUAGAGGAAGUAAAAGUCGUAACAAGGUUUCCGUAGGUGAACCUGCGGAAGGAUCAUUACCGAGUGAGGGCCCCUCGCGGCCCAACCUCCCACCCUUGUCUCCAACACCUGUUGCUUCGGCGGGCCCACCGGGGCCACCCGGUCGCCGGGGGACAUCCUGUCCCCGGGCCCGCGCCCGCCGAGGCGCUCUGUGAACCCUGAUGAAGAUGGGCUGUCUGAGUGAUAUGAAAAUUGUCAAAACUUUCAACAAUGGAUCUCUUGGUUCCGGCAUCGAUGAAGAACGCAGC